UAGGGAAUCUUCCACAAUGGACGCAAGUCUGAUGGAGCAACGCCGCGUGAGUGAAGAAGGUUUUCGGAUCGUAAAGCUCCGUUGUUGGUGAAGAAGGAUAGAGGUAGUAACUGGCCUUUAUUUGACGGUAAUCAACCAGAAAGUCACGGCUAACUACGUGCCAGCAGCCGCGGUAAUACGUAGGUGGCAAGCGUUGUCCGGAUUUAUUGGGCGUAAAGCGAGCGCAGGCGGAAGAAUAAGUCUGAUGUGAAAGCCCUCGGCUUAACCGAGGAACUGCAUCGGAAACUGUUUUUCUUGAGUGCAGAAGAGGAGAGUGGAAUUCCAUGUGUAGCGGUGGAAUGCGUAGAUAUAUGGAAGAACACCAGUGGCGAAGGCGACUCUCUGGUCUGCAACUGACGCUGAGGCUCGAAAGCAUGGGUAGCGAACAGG
rnacentral:rRNA from 1 species